rnacentral:rRNA from 1 species
GGACUUCGGUCCGCUGACGACCGGCAGACGGGUGAGUAACGCGUACGCAAUCUACCUUUUACAAAGGGAUAGCCCCGGGAAACUGGGAUUAAUACCUUAUAGUAUCUUAAUAACGCCUGUUAUAAAGAUUAAAACUUCGGUGGUAAAAGAUGAGCGUGCGUCCCAUUAGCUUGUUGGUGAGGUAACGGCUCACCAAGGCUACGAUGGGUAGCUGGUCUGAGAGGAUGAUCAGCCACACGGGCACUGAGACACGGGCCCGACUCCUACGGGAGGCAGCAGUAGGGAAUAUUGGACAAUGGGCGAAAGCCUGAUCCAGCCAUCCCGCGUGAAGGACUAAGGCCCUAUGGGUCGUAAACUUCUUUUAUUAGGGAAGAAACCUUUGGAUUUAUCCGAAGUUGACGGUACCUAACGAAUAAGCACCGGCUAACUCCGUGCCAGCAGCCGCGGUAAUACGGAGGGUGCAAGCGUUAUCCGGAUUUACUGGGUUUAAAGGGUGCGCAGGCGGCAAAGUAAGUCAGUGGUGAAAUCCCAGAGCUCAACUCUGGAACUGCCAUUGAUACUGCUUAGCUUGAGUACGGUUGAAGUGGGCGGAAUGUGACAUGUAGCGGUGAAAUGCUUAGAUAUGUCACAGAACACCAAUUGCGAAGGCAGCUCGCUAAACCGUAACUGACGCUGAGGCACGAAAGCGUGGGUAGCGAACAGGAUUAGAUACCCUGGUAGUCCACGCCCUAAACGAUGCUAACUCGGUAUG